AUGGGAUGGAGUUGUGUGUUUUUCUUUCUCCUGUCAGUAACUGCUGGUGUCUACUCCCAGGUUCAGCUGCAGCAGUCUGGAGCUGAGCUAGUGAAGCCUGGGACUUCAGUGAAGUUGUCCUGCAAGGCUUCUGGCUAUGACUUCACCAGCUAUGAUAUAAGCUGGGUAAAGCAGAGUCCUCGACAGGGCCUGGAAUGGAUUGGAUGGAUUUAUCCUGGAAAUGGUAAUACUGGCUACAAUGAUAAAUUCAAAGGCAAGGCCACCUUGACUGCAGACAAAUCCUCCAGCACAGCCUACAUGCAGCUCAGCAGCCUGACAUCUGAGGACUCUGCGGUCUAUUAUUGUGCAAGACACAGCAAAGUUUACCACAAUUUCCUGGAUUUUUAUGGCUGCCAUCUGUUCACAAUUCCUGGAACUCACCUGGAAUUAGAUUAA